CGGCGGACGGGUGAGUAACGCGUGGGUGACCUGCCUCAUACCGGGGGAUAACAGCUGGAAACGGCUGCUAAUACCGCAUAAGCGCACAGAGCUGCAUGGCUCGGUGUGAAAAACUCCGGUGGUAUGGGAUGGGCCCGCGUCCGAUUAGGCAGUUGGCGGGGUAACGGCCCACCAAACCGACGAUCAGUAGCCGGCCUGAGAGGGCGACCGGCCACAUUGGGACUGAGACACGGCCCAA
rnacentral:rRNA from 1 species